UACGUAGGGUGCGAGCGUUAAUCGGAAUUACUGGGCGUAAAGCGUGCGCAGGCGGUUAUUUAAGACAGAUGUGAAAUCCCCGGGCUCAACCUGGGAACUGCAUCAGUGACUGCAUAGCUAGAGUGCGGCAGAGGGGGAUGGAAUUCCGCGUGUAGCAGUGAAAUGCGUAGAUAUGCGGAGGAACACCGAUGGCGAAGGCAAUCCCCUGGGCCUGCACUGACGCUCAUGCACGAAAGCGUGGGGAGCAAACAGG
rnacentral:rRNA from 1 species